UUAUCUCUGUAGAGUCUGCAUAUCAAUAAGCGGAGGAAAAGAAACUAACUAGGAUUCCCUCAGUAACGGCGAGUGAAGCGGGAAGAGCUCAAAUUUGAAAUCUUCAAGGUUCUACCUUGACGAAUUGUAGUUUAAAGAAGUGUUUUCUGUUGGAGUUUUGGUAAAAGUUCUUUGGAAUAGGACAUCAUAGAGGGUGAGAAUCCCGUAUUUGACCAUUAUUUCCAGCUUUGUGAUACACUUUCAAAGAGUCGGAUUGUUUGGGAAUGCAGUCCAAAAUGGGUGGUAAAUUUCAUCUAAAGCUAAAUAUUGGCGAGAGACCGAUAGCGAACAAGUACCGUGAGGGAAAGAUGAAAAGAACUUUGAAAAGAGAGUUAAACAGUACGUGAAAUUGUCAAAAGGGAAGCGUUUGACACCAGUGUUGUUUUCUCGAAAAUCAAUUAAAAAAGGCAGGAUUUUGUGUUGUAUUGACUUUAUCAGCUUUCUGCACUCUUUUCUUGUCUUUUUUAAUGCACUUUUCGUUUAACAAGUCAACAUCAAUUUCUUUUGUUGUAAAAGGGUCAUUGGAAGGUGGCUUCUUUUCGGAGAAAGUGUUUAUAGCCUUUGGCCUCUGCAAUCGGAGAGAUUGAGGUCUGCAGCGUAGAUCCUUCGGGGUUAGAUACAUUUGUGCUAAGUUAUAGCCUUUCAUAGACAACUUGUUGACUAUGAUCAGUCAUGUAGCUUACUCGCUUAUGCUAUUUUACCUACGCUUAGGAUGUUGACGAUCAGCUGAGCGCG
rnacentral:rRNA from 1 species